UUUAGGGUUUNNNAUCUGGCUCAGGAAGAACGCUAGCGACAGGCCUAACACAUAUAAGUUGAGGGGUAACAUGAGAGCUUGCUCUUGAUGACGACCGGCGCACGGGUGAGUAACGCGUAUGCAACCUUCCUUUAACAGGAGAAUAGCCCCCGGAAACGGGGAUUAAUGCUCCAUGGCACUCUGUUUUGGCAUGGAAAAAUAGUUAAAGUUCCGACGGUUAAAGAUGGGCAUGCGUGACAUUAGCCAGUUGGCGGGGUAACGGCCCACCAAGGCAACGAUGUCUAGGGGUUCUGAGAGGAAGGUCCCCCACACUGGUAGUGAGACACGGACCAGACUCCUACGGGAGGCAGCAGUGAGGAAUAUUGGUCAAUGGACGCAAGUCUGAACCAGCCAUGUCGCGUGCAGGAUGACUGCCCUAUGGGUUGUAAACUGCUUUUGUACGGGAAGAAAUAUUCUUACGUGUAAGUAUUUGCCGGUACCGUACGAAUAAGCAUCGGCUAACUCCGUGCCAGCAGCCGCGGUAAUACGGAGGAUGCGAGCGUUAUCCGGAUUUAUUGGGUUUAAAGGGUGCGUAGGCGGAAUGGUAAGUCAGUGGUGAAAUCCUGCAGCUCAACUGUAGUUGUGCCAUUGAUACUGUCAUUCUUGAGUACAGAUGAGGUAGGCGGAAUGAGUAGUGUAGCGGUGAAAUGCAUAGAUAUUACUCAGAACACCAAUUGCGAAGGCAGCUUACUAAACUGACACUGACGCUGAAGCACGAAAGCGUGGGUAUCAAACAGGAUUAGAUACCCUGGUAGUCCACGCCGUAAACGAUGAUUACUGGUUGUUUGCGAUACACAGCACGCGACUGAGCGAAAGCGUUUAAUAAUCCCCCCGGGGAGUACACCUCCCACGAUGAAACUCUCAGGAAUUGACGGGGGCCCCCACAAACGGUGGAACAUGUGGGUUUAUUCUAUGAGACACGAGGAAACUUACCCGGGUUUAAAUGUGAAGUGACACGGGUAGAAAUACCUUUUUCCUCUGACACUUUUUAAAGUGCUGCAUGUGUGUCGUCAGCUCCUGCCGCGAGGUGUCGGGUUAAGUCCCACAACGAGCGCAACCCCCGUUGUUAUUUGACCACCACAUAAAGGUGGGGACUCUGACAAGACUGGCGACGUAAACAGCGAGGAGGGUGGGAAUGAUAACAAAACUGCACCGCCCUUUCGUCCUGGGGUACACACAUGUUGCAAUGGGCGGUACCCAGAGAACCUCCACGGCCACCAGAUGCUUAAAUCCAAUCACAGUCCCCAUUGUAAUUGUAAGCUGCCACACCAAGCUUGAUUGAUGGAAACCCGGAUCACCGCCCGGCAUACACGCCGCGCCGAGAACUUGUCCCCGCCUCUUCACACCCGGACGUUUGCCCCCCAAACGCGUGU
rnacentral:rRNA from 1 species